CUUAAGAACUUGCCACACUGAAAGAAAUAAGUAAGAACAUCCACAAUGUCCGAUCGUACCACUUCCCAACAAGCUUUAUAAAAUGAGAAUGAGAAUCCGUCCGGCCCUGGUGCUUUAUCAUCAUUCAUGCUGAACACCACCUCCUUAAUCUCAUCCUCCUCAAAUGGUCUCUCUAACCAGCUUGCAUCCUCCUCAGUAAUAGUAGAGAAAUCUAACCCCUCUAACUCUGGCCUCCAAUCAAACUGCUCACGAUACAAGUUUUGAUAGAAAUUCACCAUUUGGGUCCCAAUAUCUUGUAGAUAUUCAUAAGUAACUCCGUCUACCACCAGCAUGGUGAUAGAAUUGUUAUGCUUGUUAGAAUUGACAACUCUACGGAAAAAUUGGGUACAUUUAUCACCCUCCUUCAACUACUUAACCUUAGAUUUCUGAUGCGAGGCUAUUUCCUCCAUCUCCACCAACCUCUCUAACUCUCCCCUUAAUUCUCCACGUCUCACCCUUUCAUCCCCUACCAAUCCUUGACUCUCCUCCCUCUUAUCCAGCUCUUCUAUAUCUAACAUAUAUUGGUUUUUACGCCAGUUUACAUCUCCCACCACCUCCUCAUUUCACCUCUUUAUAUCUCUCCUUAAGGCUUUCAAUUUUUGAUCGAACACAUAACUGGGAGACCCUAUGAAAUUGUAAGAUGCCCACCAGUUCCAUACAUGCUCCCUAAAGCCUUCUACUUUAAGCCACAUCUUCUCAAACCUAAAAGGUCUUCUUACACUACACCUCGCGUUCCCAGCCAGUAAGAUAGGGAAGUGAUCGGAAUACACCCUCCCUAAUCUUCUCUGGGUACUUUUCCUCCCAUUCCCCACUAAUCAGGAACCAAUCUAUUCCCGAUAAAAUAGGUUGCUCUUGAUUAGAAGACCAAGUAAAGUCUCCUCCAAUCAAAGGCAAGUCCACCAACAUAUUUUCCUUAAUAAAAUCUGAGAACUCCUCUAUUGCCUUUGUUAAUCUCCCACCACUUGAUCUCUCAGUAGGAAAUCGAGUCACAUUAAAGUCACCCCCAAAACAAGUUGGAAUGUUCCACCAAGCCAUCAUCCCCGCUAAUUCAUCCCACAAUCCACUUCUACUCUCGUCAUCAUUAGGCCCAUAAACUCUUAAAAACGUCCAAUGAAAUCCAUUCUCAACAUUUCUGAACGAAAGCGAUAAAAAAAAUAGUCCUUCACUAAUCUCCUCCAUAUCAAGAGUUCUCGUGUCCCACAUGACUAACACACUUCCUGAGACCCCUAAUGAUCCCUUAUAUUGAUAACCAACAUGCUGUCCUCUCCAUAAACUGCUCACAAUAGCCCUCGAGACGAACUCCAACUUAGUUUCUUGUAAACAGACUAAGUC
rnacentral:lncRNA from 1 species